rnacentral:rRNA from 1 species
AAAGAAUAAGCCAAGCAUGUCUAAGUAUAAGCAAUGUAUACGGUGAAACUGCGAAUGGCUCAUUAAAUCAGUUAUCGUUUAUUUGAUAGUACCUAACCUACUUGGAUAACCGUGGUAAUUCUAGAGGUAAUACAUGCUAAAAACCUCGACUUCGGAAGGGGUGUAUUUAUUAGAUAAAAAACCAAUGCCCUUCGGGGCUCCUUGGUGAUUCAUAAUAACUCAACGAAUCGCAUGGCCUUGCGCCGGCGAUGGUUCAUUCAAAUUUCUGCCCUAUCAACUUUCGAUGGUAGGAUAGUGGCCUACCAUGGUGUUAACGGGUAACGGGGAAUUAGGGUUCUAUUCCGGAGAGGGAGCCUGAGAAACGGCUACCACAUCCAAGGAAGGCAGCAGGCGCGCAAAUUACCCAAUCCCGACACGGGGAGGUAGUGACAAUAAAUACUGAUACAGGGCCCUUUCGGGUCUUGUAAUUGGAAUGAGUACAAUUUAAUCCACUAUCAAGACCCCUG